GAUGAACGCUGGCGGCGUGCCUAAUACAUGCAAGUCGAGCGAAUGGAUUAAGAGCUUGCUCUUAUGAAGUUAGCGGCGGACGGGUGAGUAACACGUGGGUAACCUGCCCAUAAGACUGGGAUAACUCCGGGAAACCGGGGCUAAUACCGGAUAACAUUUUGAACCGCAUGGUUCGAAAUUGAAAGCCGACUUCGGCUGUCACUUAUGGAUGGACCCGCGGCGCAUUAGCUAGUUGGGGAGGUAACGGCUCACCAAGGCAACGAUGCGUAGCCGACCUGAGAGGGUGAUCGGCCACACUGGGACUGAGACACGGCCCAGACUCCUACGGGAGGCAGCAGUAGGGAAUCUUCCGCAAUGGACGAAAGCCUGACGGAGCAACGCCGCGUGAGUGAUGAAGGCUUUCGGGUCGUAAAACUCUGUUGUUAGGGAAGAACAAGUGCUAGUUGAAUAAGCUGGCACCUUGACGGUACCUAACCAGAAAGCCACGGCUAACUACGUGCCAGCCGCCGCAGUAA
rnacentral:rRNA from 1 species